rnacentral:rRNA from 1 species
CCUGGUAGCGGGGGAUAACUAUUGGAAACGAUAGCUAAUACCGCAUAAUAUUGAUUAUUGCAUGAUAAUUGAUUGAAAGAUGCUAUUGCAUCACUACCAGAUGGACCUGCGUUGUAUUAGCUAGUAGGUGAGGUAACGGCUCACCUAGGCGACGAUACAUAGCCGACCUGAGAGGGUGAUCGGCCACACUGGGACUGAGACACGGCCCAG